rnacentral:rRNA from 1 species
AUUGAACGCUGGCGGCAGGCCUAACACAUGCAAGUCGAACGAGUGGCGGACGGGUGAGUAAUGUCUGGGAAACUGCCCGAUGGAGGGGGAUAACUACUGGAAACGGUAGCUAAUACCGCAUACCAUCGGAUGUGCCCAGAUGGGAUUAGCUAGUAGGUGGGGUAACGGCUCACCUAGGCGACGAGCCCUAGCUGGUCUGAAAGGAUGACCAGCCGCACUGGAACUGAGACACGGUCCAGACGCCUACGGGUGGCAGCAGUAGGGAAUAUGGGACAAUAGGCGCAAGCAUGAUGCAGCCAUGCCGCGUGUAUGAAGAAGGCCUUCGGGUUGUAAAGUACUUUCAGCGAGGAGGCGUUACUCGCAGAAUAAGCACCGGCUAAGUCCGUGCCAGCAGCCGCGGUAAGUA